GCGGGUGUAGCUCAGUUGAUAGAGCGUCGGCUUCCCAAGCCGAAGGUCGCGGGUUUGAACCCCGUCGCCCGCU
rnacentral:tRNA from 1 species